UACGUAGGGUGCAAGCGUUAAUCGGAAUUACUGGGCGUAAAGCGUGCGCAGGCGGUUUUGUAAGUCUGUCGUGAAAUCCCCGGGCUCAACCUGGGAAUUGCGAUGGAGACUGCAAGGCUAGAAUCUGGCAGAGGGGGGUAGAAUUCCACGUGUAGCAGUGAAAUGCGUAGAGAUCAGGAGGAACACCGGUGGCGAAGGCGGCCC
rnacentral:rRNA from 1 species